CAGUAGCCGCGGGAAUACGUAGGGUGCAAGCGUUAAUCGGAAUUACUGGGCGUAAAGCGUGCGCAGGCGGUUAUAUAAGACAGAUGUGAAAUCCCCGGGCUCAACCUGGGAACUGCAUUUGUGACUGUAUAGCUAGAGUACGGCAGAGGGGGAUGGAAUUACGCGUGUAGCAGUGAAAUGCGUAGAUAUGCGGAGGAACACCGAUGGCGAAGGCAAUCCCCUGGGCCUGUACUGACGCUCAUGCACGAAAGCGUGGGGAGCAAACAGGAUUAGAUACCCCCGUAGUCCCUGUCUCUUAUAC
rnacentral:rRNA from 1 species